GAUGAACGCUGGCGGCGUGCCUAAUACAUGCAAGUAGAACGCUGAAGGAAGGAGCUUGCUCUUUCCGGAUGAGUUGCGAACGGGUGAGUAACGCGUAGGUAACCUGCCUGGUAGCGGGGGAUAACUAUUGGAAACGAUAGCUAAUACCGCAUAACAGUAGAUGUUGCAUGAUAUCUACUUAAAAGGUGCAAUUGCACCACUACCAGAUGGACCUGCGUUGUAUUAGCUAGUUGGUGAGGUAACGGCUCACCAAGGCGACGAUACAUAGCCGACCUGAGAGGGUGAUCGGCCACACUGGGACUGAGACACGGCCCAGACUCCUACGGGAGGCAGCAGUAGGGAAUCUUCGGCAAUGGGCGGAAGUCUGACCGAGCAACGCCGCGUGAGUGAAGAAGGUUUUCGGAUCGUAAAGCUCUGUUGUAAGGGAAGAACGAGUGUGAGAGUGGAAAGUUCACACUGGGACGGUAUCUUACCAGAAAGGGACGGCUAACUACGU
rnacentral:rRNA from 1 species